rnacentral:rRNA from 1 species
GACGCAUCACUGGUGUUCGGGUUGUCAUGCCAAUGGCACUGCCCGGUAGCUAAAUGCGGAAGAGAUAAGUGCUGAAAGCAUCUAAGCACGAAACUUGCCCCGAGAUGAGUUCUCCCUGACUCCUUGAGAGUCCUGAAGGAACGUUGAAGACGACGACGUUGAUAGGUCGGGUGUGUAAGCGCAGCGAUGCGUUGAGCUAACCGAUACUAAUGAACCGUGAGGCUUAACCUUACAACGCCGAAG